rnacentral:rRNA from 1 species
ACUUCGGUUUGAAGUCUUUUAUGACUGAGUGGCGGACGGGUGAGUAACGCGUGGGUAACCUGCCUCAUACAGGGGGAUAGCAGCUGGAAACGGCUGGUAAUACCGCAUAAGCGCACAGUACCACAUGGUACAGUGUGAAAAACUCCGGUGGUAUGAGAUGGACCCGCGUCUGAUUAGCUGGUUGGCGGGGUAACGGCCCACCAAGGCGACGAUCAGUAGCCGACCUGAGAGGGUGACCGGCCACAUUGGGACUGAGACACGGCCCAGACUCCUACGGGAGGCAGCAGUGGGGAAUAUUGCACAAUGGAGGAAACUCUGAUGCAGCGACGCCGCGUGAGCGAAGAAGUAGUUCGCUAUGUAAAGCUCUAUCAGCAGGGAAGAUAGUGACGGUACCUGACUAAGAAGCUCCGGCUAAAUACGUGCCAGCAGCCGCGGUAAUACGUAUGGUGCAAGCGUUAUCCGGAUUUACUGGGUGUAAAGGGAGCGUAGACGGAUGGGCAAGUCUGAUGUGAAAACCCGGGGCUCAACCCCGGGACUGCAUUGGAAACUGUUCAUCUAGAGUGCUGGAGAGGUAAGUGGAAUUCCUAGUGUAGCGGUGAAAUGCGUAGAUAUUAGGAGGAACACCAGUGGCGAAGGCGGCUUACUGGACAGUAACUGACGUUGAGGCUCGAAAGCGUGNGGAGCAAACAGGNUUAGAUACCCUGGUAGUCCACGCCGU